rnacentral:rRNA from 1 species
AUUGAACGCUGGCGGCAUGCUUUACACAUGCAAGUCGAACGGCAGCACGGACUUCGGUCUGGUGGCGAGUGGCGAACGGGUGAGCAAUACAUCGGAACGUGCCCAGUUGUGGGGGAUAACUACUCGAAAGAGUAGCUAAUACCGCAUGAGAACUGAGGUUGAAAGCAGGGGAUCGUAAGACCUUGCGCAACUGGAGCGGCCGAUGGCAGAUUAGGUAGUUGGUGGGAUAAAAGCUUACCAAGCCGACGAUCUGUAGCUGGUCUGAGAGGACGAUCAGCAACGCUGGGACUGAGACACGGCCCAGACUCCUACGGGAGGCAGCAGUGGGGAAUUUUGGACAAUGGGCGAAAGCCUGAUCCAGCAAUGCCGCGUGCAGGAUGAAGGCCUUCGGGUUGUAAACUGCUUUUGUACGGAACGAAAAGCCCUGGGUUAAUACCCUGGGGUCAUGACGGUACCGUAAGAAUAAGCACCGGCUAACUACGUGCCAGCCGCCGCGGUAA